AAGACCAGGAAGGCUGUCCAGCCUCUGGGUACCCCAACGUGCUUUGAGCCUCGGUGUUGUCAUCUGGAGGAUUUUUUUGUCAGGAGGGAUAUGAGAUGGCAAUGUGUGACAGUGUCAAGCACAUCGAGAACGCUUUGGAAACACAGGCUGAAUCAGAAGAUGACAGGCGUCCCCUGGUCCUUCAUCCUUUCUUCUACCUCCAACCUGGCCUUGAGGUCCAAGUUUCUACCACUUCAGUGUCUGGUAUUCCAAUAGGUAAGAGGGGACACAAGACUUUCAACCACGUGGGGGAAAGAAAGCAUAGGCUGCAAGUAAAUGGACAGAGAGGUCCUUGGGUCAGGAACUGGAUUUCGAGUUCCAGUCCACUGUCGUUACAUGUGAAUUAUCAGGCCUGGGAUGGCACUAAUAACACAUGUAUCUGUGAAAGAUCAGGACUUUCAUGCUGAUCCUGAAUAAUGUGAAGUCAAAAGUAAAAAUUUGGACUAUGUAAAAGUAAAACUAGCUUUGUUAUUUAUGUUUCAUUACCUAAGUCAGAAGAGUUGUAUGGAAUUAUAUAUCAGGUUGACAUGAAUAAUUCUUUAUUAACAGCACAUUCUGCCUUCGUAUGUUCUUAUAAUGAACUAGAAGGCAUAGAGGAAAAGAUCAGAAAGACCCAGCCCUCUUGUUUAUUAAUGAUUAUCUUGGUACCUUACUUUCUCUGUGCCUGUUUCCUUAACUGUAAAAUAAUACUUGCCUCAUUUCUCUGACAGGGUUGAUGUGAGAAUCAAGACAUGACGUCGGUGAAGACGCUUUGGAAACAGCCAAGUAAGUGUCUUCCACACAGAGGUACCAUUACCAUCAGCUGUCUGAGGAUGGCCGUCGUGCAGUCCAGGUCAUUAGCUGCCAUCUGCCCUCUUACCUUCCUCCUUGCUCACUUAGGUGUCCCUCAAGGACCUAACUCUAUUUUCACCAUACGGAAGCAAAAGGUCAUGUAGGCAUUAACAUGUACUAAUUCCUAUCAGUUCUAAAGGACAGGCUGUUCUCUCAGUGUGCUUGAGACCCCUUAUCACCAAGCACCGGGAGGAAGAAGGGAGGGUAGUAACAAGGCUUAUUUCCACCAGAUGGUUGAUUUUAUUUAAAAAAAGAGAAAGUUUUAGGUUUUUUUUUUUUUUUUUUUGGGUAAAGGCACUGGGAUGGGCUCAGUGGAAUGCAGCAUCGUGCAUCUAAAAUAAUCUCAGCUUUGGAGUCUGGCCGACUUUGAGUUCAGGUCCAGACCUGGCCAUUUACUUAGCUACGCAGCUUUGGCAAGUAAUGCUUGCUCUGAGCUUCAAGUUCCUCUUCUGUAUUAGGGGCUAUUAUAUAUUUUGGAGCAUUAUUGAAAGGAUUGUAAUUAAUGCUUGAGUGACUGGCAUAUGAGCGCAGAAGAGAUGACAGAUGAGCAACAAGG